GGUUAAGCGACUAAGCGUACACGGUGGAUGCCCUGGCAGUCAGAGGCGAUGAAGGACGUGCUAAUCUGCGAUAAGCGCCGGUAAGGUGAUAUGAACCGUUAUAACCGGCGAUUUCCGAAUGGGGAAACCCAGUGUGAUUCGUCACACUAUCAUUAACUGAAUCCAUAGGUUAAUGAGGCGAACCGGGGGAACUGAAACAUCUAAGUACCCCGAGGAAAAGAAAUCAACCGAGAUUCCCCCAGUAGCGGCGAGCGAACGGGGAGGAGCCCAGAGCCUGAAUCAGCAUGUGUGUUAGUGGAAGCGUCUGGAAAGGCGCGCGAUACAGGGUGACAGCCCCGUACACAAAAGCGCAUGUGCUGUGAGCUCGAUGAGUAGGGCGGGACACGUGGUAUCCUGUCUGAAUAUGGGGGGACCAUCCUCCAAGGCUAAAUACUCCUGACUGACCGAUAGUGAACCAGUACCGUGAGGGAAAGGCGAAAAGAACCCCGGCGAGGGGAGUGAAAAAGAACCUGAAACCGUGUACGUACAAGCAGUGGGAGCCCCACCACUAAGCCAGUGGUGAACUCCACAUACGCAUCCUUUGCUGAGGAUACGGUUAACGGAGCGAAAGCGACGUUCAACCGCAAAAGAAGCAGAGGGGGCUUAGUGGUGGGGUGACUGCGUACCUUUUGUAUAAUGGGUCAGCGACUUAUAUUCUGUAGCAAGGUUAACCGAAUAGGGGAGCCGCAGGGAAACCGAGUCUUAAUUGGGCGUUAAGUUGCAGGGUAUAGACCCGAAACCCGGUGAUCUAGCCAUGGGCAGGUUGAAGGUUGGGUAACACUAACUGGAGGACCGAACCGACUAAUGUUGAAAAAUUAGCGGAUGACCUGUGGCUGGGGGUGAAAGGCCAAUCAAACCGGGAGAUAGCUGGUUCUCCCCGAAAGCUAUUUAGGUAGCGCCUCGUGAAUUCAUCUCCGGGGGUAGAGCACUGUUUCGGCUAGGGGGCCAUCCCGGCUUACCAACCCGAUGCAAACUGCGAAUACCGGAGAAUGUUAUCACGGGAGACACACGGCGGGUGCUAACGUCCGUCGUGAAGAGGGAAACAACCCAGACCGCCAGCUAAGGUCCCAAAGUCAUGGUUAAGUGGGAAACGAUGUGGGAAGGCCCAGACAGCCAGGAUGUUGGCUUAGAAGCAGCCAUCAUUUAAAGAAAGCGUAAUAGCUCACUGGUCGAGUCGGCCUGCGCGGAAGAUGUAACGGGGCUAAACCAUGCACCGAAGCUGCGGCAGCGACGCUGAUGCGUUGUUGGGUAGGGGAGCGUUCUGUAAGCCUGUGAAGGUGUGUCGUGAGGCAUGCUGGAGGUAUCAGAAGUGCGAAUGCUGACAUAAGUAACGAUAAAGCGGGUGAAAAGCCCGCUCGCCGGAAGACCAAGGGUUCCUGUCCAACGUUAAUCGGGGCAGGGUGAGUCGACCCCUAAGGCGAGGCCGAAAGGCGUAGUCGAUGGGAAACGGGUUAAUAUUCCCGUACUUGGUGUUACUGCGAAGGGGGGACGGAGAAGGCUAUGUUGGCCGGGCGACGGUUGUCCCGGUUUAAGCGUGUAGGUGUGUGUUCCAGGUAAAUCCGGUUCACUUUAACACUGAGGCGUGAUGACGAGGCACUACGGUGCUGAAGCAACAAAUGCCCUGCUUCCAGGAAAAGCCUCUAAGCAUCAGGUAACAUCAAAUCGUACCCCAAACCGACACAGGUGGUCAGGUAGAGAAUACCAAGGCGCUUGAGAGAACUCGGGUGAAGGAACUAGGCAAAAUGGUGCCGUAACUUCGGGAGAAGGCACGCUGACACGUAGGUGAAGUGAUUUACUCAUGGAGCUGAAGUCAGUCGAAGAUACCAGCUGGCUGCAACUGUUUAUUAAAAACACAGCACUGUGCAAACACGAAAGUGGACGUAUACGGUGUGACGCCUGCCCGGUGCCGGAAGGUUAAUUGAUGGGGUCAGCGCAAGCGAAGCUCCUGAUCGAAGCCCCGGUAAACGGCGGCCGUAACUAUAACGGUCCUAAGGUAGCGAAAUUCCUUGUCGGGUAAGUUCCGACCUGCACGAAUGGCGUAAUGAUGGCCAGGCUGUCUCCACCCGAGACUCAGUGAAAUUGAACUCGCUGUGAAGAUGCAGUGUACCCGCGGCAAGACGGAAAGACCCCGUGAACCUUUACUAUAGCUUGACACUGAACAUUGAGCCUUGAUGUGUAGGAUAGGUGGGAGGCUUUGAAGUGUGGACGCCAGUCUGCAUGGAGCCGACCUUGAAAUACCACCCUUUAAUGUUUGAUGUUCUAACGUGGACCCGUAAUCCGGGUUGCGGACAGUGUCUGGUGGGUAGUUUGACUGGGGCGGUCUCCUCCUAAAGAGUAACGGAGGAGCACGAAGGUUGGCUAAUCCUGGUCGGACAUCAGGAGGUUAGUGCAAUGGCAUAAGCCAGCUUGACUGCGAGCGUGACGGCGCGAGCAGGUGCGAAAGCAGGUCAUAGUGAUCCGGUGGUUCUGAAUGGAAGGGCCAUCGCUCAACGGAUAAAAGGUACUCCGGGGAUAACAGGCUGAUACCGCCCAAGAGUUCAUAUCGACGGCGGUGUUUGGCACCUCGAUGUCGGCUCAUCACAUCCUGGGGCUGAAGUAGGUCCCAAGGGUAUGGCUGUUCGCCAUUUAAAGUGGUACGCGAGCUGGGUUUAGAACGUCGUGAGACAGUUCGGUCCCUAUCUGCCGUGGGCGCUGGAGAACUGAGGGGGGCUGCUCCUAGUACGAGAGGACCGGAGUGGACGCAUCACUGGUGUUCGGGUUGUCAUGCCAAUGGCACUGCCCGGUAGCUAAAUGCGGAAGAGAUAAGUGCUGAAAGCAUCUAAGCACGAAACUUGCCCCGAGAUGAGUUCUCCCUGAGACUUAGAGUCUCCUGAAGGAACGUUGAAGACGACGACGUUGAUAGGCCGGGUGUGUAAGCGCAGCGAUGCGUUGAGCUAACCGGUACUAAUGAACCGUGAGGCUUAACCUU
rnacentral:rRNA from 1 species